rnacentral:rRNA from 1 species
GGUUUAAUUCGAAGCAACGCGAAGAACCUUACCUGCUCUUGACAUCUCCCUGACCGGCAAGUAAUGUUGCCUUUCCUUCGGGACAGGGAUGACAGGUGGUGCAUGGUUGUCGUCAGCUCGUGUCGUGAGAUGUUGGGUUAAGUCCCGCAACGAGCGCAACCCCUAUCUUUAGUAGCCAGCGGUCAGGCCGGGCACUCUAGAGAGACUGCCAGGGAUAACCUGGA